rnacentral:rRNA from 1 species
GACGAACGCUGGCGGUGUGCUUCACACAUGCAAGUCGAACGAGGUAGCAAUACCUAGUGGCGGACGGGUGAGUAACGCGUGGGAAUCUGCCUUUAGAUGGGGGAUAACGGGUCGAAAGACUCGCUAAUACCGCAUAUGACGAAAGUUGAAAGGAGUAAUCCGUCUAAAGAUGAGCCCGCGUCCGAUUAGCUAGUUGGUAGAGUAAAAGCCUACCAAGGCGACGAUCGGUAGCUGGUCUGAGAGGAUGAUCAGCCACAAUAGGGAACUGAGACACGGCCCAUACUCCUACGGAGCAGCAGUGGGGAAUUUUACGCAAUGGGGGAAACCCUGACGUAGCGACACCGCGUGAGCGAAGAAGCCCCUUAGGGGUGUAAAGCUCUGUCAGCUGGACGAAAAAAUGACGUACCAGCAGAGGAAGCAUCGGCUAACUACGUGCCAGCAG